GGCGCUGGGCUGGGGCGCAACAUGGCGGCGCGGGGCGGGUGCUGAGCGCCGGUGACCGCGGCGGCGGCGGCGGGACCCGCGGAGAGACCCGCGGAGGGACCCGCGGAGGGACCCGCGGAGAGGCGGCGUGGAAAGGCGGCGAGGCCGGGCGGAGAAGAGCGGAGGAAGGUGGCGGGGCUGGCUCGGGCCCCCGGGCGGCGGCGAUGGCCCAGUGCGUGCAGUCGGUGCAGGAGUUCAUCCAGGACUCGUUCGUGCCCUUGGUGGCCGCGCUGUGCAGCGAGGAGGCGGAGAGGCUCACCCGCAAGAACAGCCUGAGCUUCGCCGAGCUGGUGAAGCCCUUCUGCCGCCUCACCUCGGAAGUCCACAUGAGAGAUCCUAAUAAUCAGCUUCACAUAAUUAAAAAUCUGAAGAUUGCUGUCAACAACAUUAUUACUCACCCACCUCAGCCUGGUGCCAUUCGGAAACUUUUGAAUGAUGUUGUGUCUGUCUGUCAGCCUGCUGAAGGACUAGUAGCUAAUGUGAUCACAGCUGGAGAUUAUGAUCUCAACAUUAGUGAUCGCUCAGUUAAAGCUAGUGUUCCUUGGUACAAUAAUUGGAAAGAGACACUGAUGGAACUGAACACAUCCACGUUUUAUUCAGCUACUACUCCAUGGUUUGAGUCUUAUAGAGAGUGCUUUCUUCAGUCCAUGCCUGCAUCAGACCAUGAAUUCUUAAACCACUAUGUUGCAUGUAUGCUUGUAGUUUCUUCUAGUGAACCAGAUCCUGUGGAACAAUUUCUGAAGCUGUCUCAAGAACAACACCGAAUUCAGCAUAGUAAUGAAUACUUAUAUCCCAAGUGGUUUAUACCAAACACACUCAAAUACUAUGUGUUACUGCAUGAUGUAAGCACAGGAGAAGAACAAAGAGCUGACUCAAUUUAUGAAGAGAUGAAGCAGAGGUAUGGAACUCAGGGUUGUUACUUGCUGAAAAUAAAUUCUCGGAUGUCUAAUAGAGGAACAGAUGAACAGAUACCAGAUCCUUGGAGUCAGUACCUUCAGAAAAACACUAUCCAGAACCAGGAUUUCUAUGAUGAUUGUCCAUAUACUGUCAUUGCAAACAAGAAUACCGAUCACUUGAUAUCUGAUGGUUUAGACAGUGAAUUUAAAGACGGACUGUCAAAUAACUUUAAGACUCACCCCCUUCAACUGGAUCAUCCUAGCGGCAGUUUGGAUAGCACUGAUUGCGUGAAGGCUGCUGCAGCAGCGCAGGAUGUGAAGAAACCAAAUUCUGCAACGCCCCAUGGUGCUUGUUUAACACUCACAGAUCAUGAUAGAAUUAGACAAUUCAUCCAGGAAUUCACAUUUAGGGGACUGUUGCCACAUAUAGAGAAGACAAUUCGGCAACUUAAUGAUCAGUUAAUAUCCAGGAAGGGCUUGAGUCGAUCCCUGUUUUCUGCUACUAAGAAGUGGUUUAGCGGCAGCAAGGUUCCAGAGAAAAGUAUAAAUGAACUGAAGAAUACUUCUGGUUUGCUGUAUCCACCAGAAGCACCAGAGCUUCAAAUCCGGAAAAUGGCAGACUUGUGCUUUUUGGUGCAACACUAUGAACUUGCAUAUAGCUGUUACCAUACAGCAAAGAAAGACUUCUUAAAUGAUCAGGCAAUGCUUUAUGCAGCUGGAGCACUGGAAAUGGCAGCAGUAUCAGCUUUUCUUCAGCCUGGAGCUCCUAGACCAUAUCCUGCUCAUUAUAUGGAAACAGCAAUUCAAACCUAUCGAGAUAUCUGCAAGAACAUGGUUCUGGCUGAACGCUGUGUGCUACUUAGUGCUGAAAUCUUAAAAAGUCAAAGCAAAUAUUCAGAGGCAGCUGCUCUCCUGAUUCGUUUAACCAGUGAGGAUUCAGAUCUUCGCAGUGCACUUCUGUUGGAGCAAGCAGCCCAUUGCUUUAUAAACAUGAAAAGUCCCAUGGUUAGAAAGUUUGCAUUUCAUAUGAUAUUGGCUGGCCAUAGAUUUAGUAAAGCAGGACAGAAGAAACAUGCAUUACGUUGCUACUGUCAAGCCAUGCAGGUUUACAAAGGGAAAGGCUGGUCUCUUGCUGAAGACCAUAUUAACUUCACUAUUGGCCGCCAGUCCUUCACGCUUCGUCAGCUUGACAAUGCUGUGUCUGCAUUCAGACAUAUUUUGAUCAAUGACAGUAAACAACCUCCAGCUCAGCAAGGAGCUUUUUUAAGAGAGUAUCUUUAUGUUUAUAAGAACGUAACCCAGCUGUCACCUGAUGGUCCCUUACCACAGCUUCCUUUGCCAUAUAUUAACAGCUCAGCAACCCGUGUUUUCUUUGGCCAUGAUCGAAGACCAGCAGAAGGUGAAAAGCAGGCAGCUACACACGUGAGUCUCGAUCAGGAGUAUGACUCGGAAUCAUCACAACAGUGGAAGGAACUUGAGGAGCAGGUUGUUUCUGUGGUUAAUAAAGGAAUAAUACCUUCAAACUUUCAGCCAGCACAGUUCUGUUUAAAUCGCUACUCGGAUAACUCCAGAUUUCCACUUGCUGUUAUAGAAGAACCAAUAACUGUAGAAGUGUCCUUCCGAAACCCUCUGAAAGUUCCACUUCUUUUGACUGAUCUUUCAUUGCUGUGGAAGUUCCAACCUAAAGACUUCAAUGUAAAACAUGCUGGAGAAACUAAAGAGCUGGGAACAUGUGUUGAUGACAUGAUAGGAACUGAGUCAAUAUCAGAAUUUUUAAUUAAUAGUGAGGAGACAAAAGUGGCAAGACUAAAGCUCUUUCCCCAUCAAACAGGGGAGCUACAUAUUCUGGGAGUCGUUUAUAAUCUUGGCACUGUUCAGGGUGCUGCGACAUUAGAUGGGAUAGACCCUUCUAUUGGAUUACAGACAGGAAAGUUUGUCUCCAAUGGUUUAUCUGUACGAGGACGGCAAGACUUAGAAAUCCAAGGGCCUCGACUUAAUAACACAAAAGAGGAAAAAACAUCUAUUAAAUAUGGGCCUGAUCGACGUUUAGAUCCCAUUAUUACAGAGGAAAUGCCUUUGUUGGAGGUGUUUUUCAUAAAUUUUCCUACAGGGCUUCUCUGUGGAGAAAUCAGAAAAGCAUAUGUAGAAUUUGUAAAUGUAAGCAAGUGUCCCCUUACUGCACUGAAGGUUGUGUCCAAGCAUCCAGAAUUUUUUACUUUUGGUGGAAAUACUGCUGUUCUAACGCCACUAAGCCCUUCAGCUUCUGAAAAUUGUAGUGCUUACAAGACUGUUGUGACAGAUCCUACCUCUGUGCAUACAGCACUAUUAUCUUCAGCUUCUUCUGUAGACUUUGGGGUUGGGACAGGAGGUCAGCCUGAAGUAAUAAACGUCCCACUUCCUGAUGCUGUUCUUCUUCCUGGGGCUUCAGUGCAGCUGCCGAUGUGGUUACGGGGACCAGACGAAGAAGGUGUUCACGAAAUUAACUUUUUGUUUUACUAUGAAAGUAUUAAAAAACACUCAAAAAUGUGCCAUAGAGUAUUAAGGCACACUGCAGUUAUUUGUACUAGCCGAUCUCUGCAUAUUCGAGCUACUGUCUGCAGAAGUAAUGCACUUGAAGAUGAAGAAGGCAGAGGGGACAAUAUGUUGGUGUUUGUGGAUGUAGAAAAUAUCAACACUAGUGAGUCUGGCGUUAAAGAGUUUCAUAUAGUACAAGUUUCAAGUAAUAGCAAGCACUGGAAGCUUCAAAAAUCUGUUAACAUCUCUGAAGACAAAGAUACUAAACUUGCAAGCAGAGAGAGAGCAAAGUUAUGUUUUAAAGCAGUAAGAUGCAAAAACUCAGAAGAAAAUUACACAUUUGCAGAUAUUGUCUUUGGAAAUGAGCAGAUAAUAAGUUCAGCCAGUCCUUGUGCAGACUUUUUUUUCCAAAGCUUGUCCUCCGAAUUUAAAAGAAUGCAUGUGCAGUCUCAUACUCCUCAUGCAUCUCAAAGGACUGUGAAGCAGGCAUUUGAUGAGACAAUCAGAUUGAUACAAAGAUGCAAUGAAGUCGAUUUGAAUAUUGUUGUACUGUGGAAGGCAUAUGUUGUGGAAGACAACAAGCAGCUUAUUUUGGAGGGCCAGCAUCAUGUUGCUCUUCAUACAGUUGGGAAGGAGGCUUUUUCGUUUCCUCAAAAGCAGGGUUUUAAAAAAAUACUCGGGAAUUCUGAUUGGGAGGACUUGGAACAGGAAUUGCCAGAAACAGUUCUCUUAAAGUUUUUUCGACCAGAAAGCACACCAGUACCUACAAGACCAACACCAGAGCAGCUUUCUAAUCUUAUCAAGACAAGUCUUCAUUAUCCAGAGUCUUUCAAUCACUCUUUCCAUCAAAAAAGCCUCUGUCUGGUACCUGUCACUCUCCUACUUUCCAAUUGUUCUCAGGCUGUUGUAGAUGUGAUGAUUGACCUGCGGCAUAAAACAACAAGAUGGGCCUAGCUUUUGGGAACUCAACAUUCCAGUCCAAAAUAAAUGAAUCAGCUGAUACCAGUGCUGGAAUAUGUUAUAUGGUAUUUGGUAAGUAUGGUUUAAUGGUACACGUAUUUAUAGAGCUGACCUCUUUACUGACUACACUACUGAUAAAAUAGUGAAAAAUUAAUAGAUGUCUGACCCAGUUCUCUCCCAUCUUUCUUCAGGUUGUCAUACAAUCUAGUGUUGCCUCAUAAAUUUCUUUUUGGCUUCCUCUUUCUGGAUCCCAUGAUCACUGAAUCUCUUUUCAGGAUAUAACUUCAACAUCUACUGUGUCAUUUGUACCAAAGCUGCUGAAGAGCCCUGCUUAGAAAACAGAUGCAAUAUGUUCACUGGGCCAUAGAAAAUGGAGCUUGGAGUGAUCUGAUAGAGCAUUUGCUGACCCCUUAUACUGUUCCUGACCAAAAUUUGUCAAGACUCCUCUGCAAAAUUUUCCAUUAACUGACUAAGCAGUUUAUUCCAGUGUUUGCUAAUAUGAGGAGGAAUGGGAAACAUGGAAAAGAGGUUUCUGGAAUUUCACUAUGGAAAUGUGUGUAAAUGGGAUGGCUUUGACCACAGAUUAGAUCCCAAAGUUACUAUGAUGUCAGUUGGUGCAUGCUAAAAAACUGUAUAUGGACCCGAGUUGGUAAUUCAGACAAUAACAUAUACCAUGGUAAAGAAAAGAAAAACUAAAAUUGAGUUGGCUGAAAGUAAUUUUUUCUUCAUAUUGUGUGUUUCUCUGCAGGAAUUUGCUCCUUGUGUGGGAACAAUAUUCUUCUAUAUGUCUCCUACAAGAAAAAAACCUUGUUGAAACCAGCAGAAUACUUCAUUAUUAACUUUGCUAUCAGUUACCUUGGUAUGAUUGACAUUGUACCCUCUAGCUGUAACCUCCAGCCUUCCACACAGGUUUGUUCACUAUGCACAUGAUAUUUAACAUCCUCUAUAGGUUUUGGAGGUCUGUGUCUGUGAUUAAGACCAAAUUCCUCUUCUACUUUGCUUGUUAUAAAAGUGGCAAUUUAUUAGAAGGAAUGAGAGAAGUAUACUCUCUAACAGCAGCUUUAUGGACUGCUGAUGUUAAUUAAUGUUUGUGUUUAAUUGAGGUGAAUAUCUUUUUGAUUUCUUCAGGGCUGAGAAGAUUUUCUUCCAAACAGCUACUUCCUGCUGCAUUUCCACCUGCACAAUGUCCUUCACUUUCUGAAGAGAAAGGAAGGAGGUACAGUGAUUCAGAUAAAAUUUUUAUUCCUCUGGAGAACCUGCACAAGUGAAUGUGUUGCUUUUGAUGAAAAAAAAAUAUUAAAAUAUGCAUAAAGAUAUAAUAAUAAUAACAACAACAACAACAACAACAACCUAGGCCUGCUCCUGACAAGCA